UACGUAGGGUGCGAGCGUUGUCCGGAAUUAUUGGGCGUAAAGAGCUCGUAGGCGGUCUGUCGCGUCGGUCGUGAAAACUUGGGGCUUAACCCUGAGCUUGCGGUCGAUACGGGCAUGACUGGAGUUCGGCAGGGGAGACUGGAAUUCCUGGUGUAGCGGUGAAAUGCGCAGAUAUCAGGAGGAACACCAGCGGCGAAGGCGGCGCUCUGGGCCGGUACUGACACUGAGGAGCGAAAGCGUGGGGAGCAAACAGG
rnacentral:rRNA from 1 species